rnacentral:rRNA from 1 species
UGUAAGCGUAUACCAAAGUUGUUGCAGUUAAAACGCUCGUAGUCGGAAUUUGGCAGUUCCGGAUGUGUGCACGUCGUGUGCGCACUUCGCGGGGAUUGCUUUUGUGGUCUUGCGUAGGAUGAGGCACUUUUAUUAGUGAACGUCCUCACGCAACCACUUUUUACUGUGAGAAAAUCAGAGUGCUCAAAGCAGGCAUUUGCCGUGAAUGUAUUAGCAUGGAAUAAUAGAAUAGGACUUGGUUCUAUUUUGUUGGUUUGUUGGGACUGAGUAAUGAUUAAGAGGGACAGUUGGGGGCAUUGUAUUUCGGUGCUAGAGGUGAAAUUCUUAGAUUACCGAAAGACAAACUGCUGCGAAAGCGUCUGCCAAGGAUGUUUUCAUUGA